rnacentral:tmRNA from 1 species
GGGGUUGCUUGGUUUCGACGGGAAUAUGGCGUUUAAGUGGCAAGCCGGGUUGUACACGUCACGUACAAACCAAAAAAUAAACGGAAACAGAACUCAAUUAGCUUUCGCAUAAUUUAAAUAAUACGUGAAAGGCUUCCUUUAUCUUCUCUCCCACGGAAGAUUUAGGAGGCUCGAUUUAGUGGGAUAUAUUAUUACCUUUGCUUAGGGGUAAUAACGAAUUUUAUAAGCUUACUAAAAAAUGAUUUGUUAGUUUUUAUAUUUUUUAGGACAUUUUUAAACUAACUAAGCUUGUAGAAGCUUAAAAGGCUAUAUUUUCGGACAGGGGUUCGAUUCCCCUCAGCUCCACCA